UUGUACGUUGAAAAGGUAUGUGUAAAGGCUUUAGGCCACUCUUUGCGUUAUUGUAGACCCAGUUUAUUAUGCAACUUAAAUUUAUACAAUAGAUAUAGUAAGGGGGUCACUGCUCUUCUCUCUUUUAGGUUAGGGGUCGUUGGUCUAAAAAACGUUGGACUCCUGUUAUAAGGCAUAAAUGUAGGAUGAAAAAAGAAUGAUAUA